UACGGAGGGUGCAAGCGUUAUCCGGAUUUACUGGGUUAAAGGGAGCGCAGGCGGAUUGGUAAGUCAGUGGUGAAAUACCCGUGCUUAACAUGGGAACUGCCAUUGAUACUAUCAGUCUUGAAUGUUGUUGAGGUUUGCGGAAUGGGUCAUGUAGCGGUGAAAUGCAUAGAUAUGACCGGAACACCUAUUGCGAAGGCAGCAGGCUAAACAAAUAUUGACGCUGAGGCUCGAAAGCGUGGGGAUCAAACAGG
rnacentral:rRNA from 1 species